AUGUUAAGUGGGUGGAAAAGAAAGUAAAGUGCAUCAAAAGUGAUGUAUGCAAUUUUAUGAAUAUAUGUGUUCAUAUUUAAUUGGUUUGAAACCAGAACCUUCUAAUUAUCAGUAUAAAAACCAGAACCUUCCCCAUUUGCUUUUCCUCAUCACUCUCUCGCAGUUUUCCUUCCCCUCAAAUCUGUCACUUCGUUUCAGUCCAAAAGCUUGAGUUUGUCCCCGUUUCAUUAGCAGAGAUGAGCGACCCAAAGUAUGGUUAUCCCUACCCUGCUCAAGGUCAAGGAGGUUAUUACCAAGGCCCUCCAGUAAUGGCACCUCCACAAUAUGCUGCUCCACCACCCAGGAGAGAACCAGGCUUCCUUGAGGGCUGUCUUGCUGCUCUGUGUUGCUGCUGCCUUCUUGACGAGUGUUGCUGCGAUCCCUCCGUCCUCUUUUUCUUUUAGAAUAUAUCAUGUAUCCUUGAAUAAUUCCACUCCUAUUGUAAUGUUUGAAGGUGAUCUUGUUGGAUCAUUUUAAUUUAUUUAGGGUUUAGGGUUUAUUUAUGUACAAGACUUGUAGUUGUUUCUAUUCUGCGUUGUAUGUGGCAUAAUCUCUCACUCACGCUUAUCCAAAAUAGUUAUCUU